UGGGGAAUAUUGCACAAUGGGCGCAAGCCUGAUGCAGCCAUGCCGCGUGUAUGAAGAAGGCCUUCGGGUUGUAAAGUACUUUCAGCGGGGAGGAAGGCGAUAAGGUUAAUAACCUUGUCGAUUGACGUUACCCGCAGAAGAAGCACCGGCUAACUCCGUGCCAGCAGCCGCGGUAAUACGGAGGGUGCAAGCGUUAAUCGGAAUUACUGGGCGUAAAGCGCACGCAGGCGGUCUGUCAAGUCGGAUGUGAAAUCCCCGGGCUCAGCCUGGGAACUGCAUUCGAAACUGGCAGGCUAGAGUCUUGUAGAGGGGGGUAGAAUUCCAGGUGUAGCGGUGAAAUGCGUAGAGAUCUGGAGGAAUACCGGUGGCGAAGGCGGCCCCCUGGACAAAGACUGACGCUCAGGUGCGAAAGCGUGGGGAGCAAACA
rnacentral:rRNA from 1 species